ACUUAUAUUAAUAAUACAUUCUUAGCAUUCGCUUUCCCUCAUCUUUCCAAAAUGUUUCCAAGCUUCUUCUUUGAUAUUCGAACCCAGUCAUUGCUUUGCUGAAAAAUUUCCAUGUAUUUGAUUAUUCUUUCUUCCCUACAACGCGGUUUGCUAUGACUCUGUUAUGGUUUUCAAGUUUGAGCUUCUCCCAUUUCACCCAUCACCAAAUUUCGAAUCAGUUUUAAUUAUUUCAUGGCGCCGAGAAAGAUGAAGUUGCAGAUGCAGCAGCAAUUGGUGGCGCAGAAACCAGAAAUGAAGCUGAAGGGUUUGAAAGCAAAGAUGGGGCACAUCAAGCAAAAUGCCAAACGCUCCAGGCAUCACAUACAUUAUAAUAAGGGUAAACACAUAUUAUUAUUUAUUAUUAUCUAAUUUAGUUAAGAUUUAUUAGAGUAUGUAUUAGAUAUUUGUAGAUACUCUAGUAACUAAUUUCUAUUUGAUGAUGGGCUAAUUAGAAAUUAGGGGUAAUGUGCUAAAGUUAUAUAUAUUAAGGUUAUGAUCCUAAAUUACACCUAAGUUUCACAUCUUUAGAAUAGAGAGAGUUACUUUUUCAAGAUUACUUGUAUGACCUUGGCUUACAGUUUUAUGUUUAUAUUAGAUCUUGUUUUUACGAUUCUAACAAGUGACAACCGAGC
rnacentral:lncRNA from 1 species